AUUGCACUCUGGCGGCAGGCCUAACACAUGCCAUUCGAACGAGUGGCGGACGGGUGAGUAAUUUCUGGGAAACUGCCUGAUUGAGGGGGAUAACUACUGGAAACGGUAGCUAAUACCGCAUACCAUCAGAUGUGCCCAGAUGGGAUUAGCUAGUUGGUGGGGUAACGGCUCACCAAGGCGACGAUCCCUCGCUGGUCUGAGAGGAUGACCAGCCACACUGGAACUGAUACACGGUCCAGACUCCUACGGGAUGCAGCAGUGGGGAAUAUUGCACAAUGGGCGCAAGACUGAUGCAGCCAUGCCGCGUGUAUGAAGAAGGCCUUCGGGGUGUAAAGUACUUUCAGCGGGGAGGCGUUACCCGCAGAAGAAGCACCGGCUAACUCCGUGCCAGCCGCCGCGGUAAUUC
rnacentral:rRNA from 1 species